rnacentral:misc_RNA from 1 species
CAUUCGGUUCCUAAAGUGUAGCAAGCAAGAUCGAUAACUGAACUCAGAACGGAGGCGCCGCACAGUGGGGGAGAGAGAGAGACGGAGAGUCGCCGGAGUAGCAAAACCAGAGUGAGAAAAGACAACAAUGGCGGACAAGGCAGUGACUAUUAGAACUAGGAAGUUCAUGACCAAUAGGUUGCUUGCAAGGAAACAAUUCAUUAUUGAUGUCUUGCAUCCUGGAAGAGCUAAUGUUUCCAAGGCUGAGUUGAAAGAGAAGUUGUCAAGGAUGUAUGAAGUGAAAGAUCCAAAUGCCAUCUUUGUGUUCAAGUUCAGAACCCACUUUGGAGGAGGCAAAUCUACUGGCUUUGGUUUGAUCUAUGAUUCUGUUGAGAAUGCCAAGAAGUACGAGCCAAAGUACAGGCUGAUCAGGAACGGAUUGGACACUAAGGUGGAGAAGUCCAGGAAGCAAAUGAAGGAGAGGAAGAACAGAGCUAAGAAAGUCCGUGGUGUUAAGAAGACAAAGGCUGGAGAUGCCAAGAAGAAAUGAUCUGUUAGUAAUUGUAGACAAAGCAGGAGAAGCGUUUUGUUGCUCCAGUUACAUGCCAUAUCAUUUAUGCUUUUUAUUGGACCUUUUUGUAGACUCUUUUCAAUUUUGCUCAGGUUACUCCAGCAUAUUUUGCAUGUGAAAGUACUAUUAGAUCAUCAUCAAAAAUGAGUGAAGUGUUAGAAUAUUAUUCUCUCUUCAAAUAUUGCCAAAUUCAUUUCUGUCACUGUUACUUGCUUAUCAUA